GUGAUAAUGGUGGAAUUUGGUAGACACGCUUAGUUUAGGUCUAAGUCUUUCGAGAUUGCAAGUUCAAGUCUUGCUUAUCAUA
rfam:Yarrowia lipolytica complete mitochondrial genome, strain W29